rnacentral:rRNA from 1 species
UCCGGGGGGGGCAAGCGUUGUUCGGAAUUACUGGGCGUAAAGGGCUCGUAGGUGGCCAACUAAGUCAGACGUGAAAUCCCUCGGCUUAACCGGGGAACUGCGUCUGAUACUGGAUGGCUUGAGUUCGGGAGAGGGAUGCGGAAUUCCAGGUGUAGCGGUGAAAUGCGUAGAUAUCUGGAGGAACACCGGUGGCGAAGGCGGCAUCCUGGACCGACACUGACACUGAGGAGCGAAAGCCAGGGGAGCAAACGGG